rnacentral:rRNA from 1 species
CCUACGGGGCGCAGCAGUGGGGGAUAUUGCACAAUGGGGGAAACCCUGAUGCAGCGACGCCGCGUGAGUGAAGAAGCAUUUCGGUGUGUAAAGCUCUAUCAGCAGGGAAGAAGAAUGACGGUACCUGACUAAGAAGCCCCGGCUAACUACGUGCCAGCAGCCGCGGUAAUACGUAGGGGGCAAGCGUUAUCCGGAUUUACUGGGUGUAAAGGGAGCGUAGACGGCAAUGCAAGCCAGAUGUGAAAACCCGCAGCUCAACUGGGGGAGUGCAUUUGGAACUGUGUAGCUGGAGUGCAGGAGAGGUA